rnacentral:rRNA from 1 species
AGAGUUUGAUCCUGGCUCAGCGUGAACGCUGGCGGCGUGGCUAAGACAUGCAAGUCGAACGGGUGUAGCAAUACACCAGUGGCGGACGGGUGAGUAAUGUAUAGCUAACGUGCCCCUUGGACAGGGAUAGCCAUCCGAAAGGAUGGGUAAUACCUGGUGACAUAACCUGAUCGCAUGGUUGGGUUCUCAUAGGCCGUAAGGUGCCGAGGGAGCGGGCUAUAUUGUAUCAGCUAGUUGGUGAGGUAAUGGCUCACCAAGGCGACGACGCAUAGCCGGACUAAGAGGUUGUCCGGCCACAUUGGGACUGAGACACUGCCCAGACUCCUACGGGGGGCUGCAGUAACGAAUCUUCCGCAAUGCACGAAAGUGUGACGGAGCGACGCCGCGUGUGGGACGAAGUUCUUCGGAAUGUAAACCACUGUCAGGGGUUAGAAAGUUCUGAUCAACCCCAGAGGAAGGCACGGCUAACUCUGUGCCAGCAGCCGCGGUAAGACAGAGGUGCCAAGCGUUAGGCGGAAUCACUGGGCUUAAAGCGUGUGUAGGCGGAUUGACAAGUACUUUGUGAAAUCCCACGGCUUAACCGUGGAACUGCUCGGUAUACUGUCAGUCUUGAGCUAUCUAGAGGCAACUGGAACAAACGGUGGAGCGGUGAAAUGCGUAGAUAUCGUUUGGAAUGCCAAAGGUGAAAACAGGUUGCUGGGGAUAUGCUGACGCUGAGACACGAAAGCCAGGGGAGCAAACGGGAUUAGAUACCCCGGUAGUCCUGGCCCUAAACAAUGUCCACUAGAUCUCAGCAGCUCUGACGUUGUUGUGGUCGUAG